UCUUUUUUUCCAUUCUCCCCUCUCUUAUUAACUCUGUUGGACCAGAUUAUCUCAGGAAAAUCAUAGUUGAAGACCAUCCAAGUCAACCAAAGUCGACAUUAUGAUAGAAGAGGUGAUCAUGACAUAGAAGAUGGUGGGAACGAAAUUGAUGAACUAGAUCUGACUUAAGCGAUUGAUCACAUUGGCUUCACGUCACACUAGUAGUUGAAAAACUUGUGUAUGUUCUGAUUGAGAUCGAUCACAUUUGAUCGAGUAGAUUCAAACAUCUUUUAUUUUUGAACAUUCAAAACUACUUGUGUAUGUUUUAUUUUAUGUGUUAUGCAUAUGGUAGCUUUAUAAAAUUAUUGCAAUAGCA